CCGAGUACCGGGUCUUUAUAGGCCCAUACUCCCACCCUUUGUGUACCACACCUCUGUUCGUUGCCUCGGCGGGGUCGAUCCCAUCCAGGGGGACCCGCCGGGGGGACACCGCCAAACUCUUGUCAACGGUGAAGUCUGAGAAAACAUACAAACUAGUCA
rnacentral:misc_RNA from 1 species